rnacentral:rRNA from 1 species
UACGUAGGUGGCAAGCGUUGUCCGGAUUUACUGGGUGUAAAGGGCGUGUAGCCGGGCCGGCAAGUCAGAUGUGAAAUCCCAAGGCUCAACCUUGGAACUGCAUUUGAAACUGUUGGUCUUGAGUAUCGGAGAGGCAGGCGGAAUUCCUAGUGUAGCGGUGAAAUGCGUAGAUAUUAGGAGGAACACCAGUGGCGAAGGCGACGAUCUGGCCUGCAACUGACGCUCAGUCCCGAAAGCGUGGGGAGCAGAUAGG